GUCAGUGUGGCCGAGUGGUUAAGGCGUGUGACUUGAAUUUGCCGCACCAGGCACCCCUGCUUAAAGGAGUUGAAAUGCUCUCCUGGGGGUGCCACCGGCGACGGCCUUUUGAGAUCACAUCUCUUCGGAGGCAUAGGUUCGAACCCUAUCGCUGACG
rnacentral:tRNA from 1 species